AUUAGAGUUUGAUCCUGGCUCAGGAUGAACGCUGGCGGCGUGCUUAACACAUGCAAGUCGAGCGAAGCGGUUUCAAUGAAGUUUUCGGAUGGAAUUGAAAUUGACUUAGCGGCGGACGGGUGAGUAACGCGUGGGUAACCUGCCUUACACUGGGGGAUAACAGUUAGAAAUGACUGCUAAUACCGCAUAAGCGCACAGGGCCGCAUGGUCUGGUGUGAAAAACUCCGGUGGUGUAAGAUGGACCCGCGUCUGAUUAGGUAGUUGGUGGGGUAACGGCCCACCAAGCCGACGAUCAGUAGCCGACCUGAGAGGGUGACCGGCCACAUUGGGACUGAGACACGGCCCAAACUCCUACGGGAGGCAGCAGUGGGGAAUAUUGGACAAUGGGCGAAAGCCUGAUCCAGCGACGCCGCGUGAGUGAAGAAGUAUUUCGGUAUGUAAAGCUCUAUCAGCAGGGAAGAAAAUGACGGUACCUGACUAAGAAGCCCCGGCUAACUACGUGCCAGCAGCCGCGGUAAUAAU
rnacentral:rRNA from 1 species